rnacentral:tRNA from 1 species
GCUGAGGUGGCGGAACCGGUAGACGCGCCAGACUUAGGAUCUGGUGCCAUUUUGGCGUAAGGGUUCGAGUCCCUUCCUCAGCACCG